GAGGCCUUAGCUUAAUUAAGGUAUUUGAGUUGCAUUCAGAAGAUGUAAAUUAGAGUUUUACAGGUCUU
rnacentral:tRNA from 1 species